rnacentral:snRNA from 1 species
GUGCUUACUUCAGCAGCACCUAUACUAAAAUUGGAACGAUACAGAGAAGAUUAGCAAAUAUGACACCCAAAUUCGUGAAGUGUUCCAUAUUAAA